UAACAGAAACAUCUCAUGUGGUAUAUAAGAUCAAUUGCAAUAAUUGUGAGGGUGUAUACAUAGGACAGACGGAACAAAAACUGAAAGACAGACUGAAAGGACACAAGUACUCCAAAACACAAACAGCACUUUACAAGCACAAAACCGAGAAUGGACACACAUUCAAUUAUGACGAGACUAUAGUGUUGGACCGAGAAAAAAAUAAAAAAUCUAGAGAAAUUCUCGAAAUGAUCCACAUAAAACAAAAUGAAAAAUCCAUUAAUGACAGAUCAGACAUUAGAUACCUUCACAACAUCUACUCCACUAUUUUGAACAAUCUCAAAUAAGCCGACCAACAAAAACAAACAAGAAGAAGAAAUCAUUAUUGACGUAACAACUCCAAUAUCAUUUGAAAUCAUAACCCCAAUGACAUCCAACAAAUAAGUUGGGAAAUAACUUAAAAUGAAUUAUAAAGGCUAGAAAAAGGGUACUGCCCGAAACGUUGCCAAUCACCAUUAUAUUUUAAAUAAUAAUAAACCCUGCAUAUCAAA